AAAACGAGAUUGCAAACACAGAUUCCAGGAUCUCUGAGCCCAUAUAAAAGUGUAAUUCAAGCGCUCUAUGAAAUUGGCAAGAAAGAAGGUCUGAAAGGCCUCUAUAGGGGCCUGACUCCAAGACUGAUAAUGUACAUGUCUCAAGGUGCAAUCUUCUUUUCCUCUUAUGAAUUUUUGAAGAGAAUCUUUUCUCUUGAGGCGCCUCAACAUGGGAAGACUCCAACACCAAUCAGAUGAGAAACUCAAAAGAUGAUUCAACAAUACAAUUGCAAUUCUCUUCACAAUCAGUAUUAGCAGCAUCUUCAUCAUCAUCAUUGACCACCACUUUAUCGGAAUUGUGCUCAUAAUGUUUACCGAAAUAUGAAGAACUUGACAUGGAUGAGUGGUGCUAGGUGAAGAAAACUGCCUCUUUAGAUGACUGGGGAUGGUCCCUCCAGGGGUGUUCCAUGCAUUGUAAAGGAACUUGAUGCAGCAGCAGAAACCUACGAAUUGGGAUUUGCUAUAGAUUCUUUUAACCAAAGAGGAGUCAUUUUUUGAAGUAAACAAUUGUGAAUCCUUGUACGUUGAUGUCAUCAUAAUUAUCCAGGUAGAUACCUGUAAGCUUGGGCUAUUCUGUAUACCUUCAAGUGAAAAAGAAAUAAACAGGUAUCAUAUUCUUUUAAAUUAUUUCCUCUUUUGUAAUGAUGCCCUAUUGCACAUUAUUGAGUAGCUAUGUCAAUACUCGAGUACUUUAAUCUCAAGGCCAACUUUAUA